rnacentral:rRNA from 1 species
GAUGAACGCUGGCGGCGUGCCUAAUACAUGCAAGUCGAGCGAACGGACGAUAAGCUUGCUUCUCUGAUGUUAGCGGCGGACGGGUGAGUAACACGUGGAUAACCUACCUAUAAGACUGGGAUAACUUCGGGAAACCGUAGCUAAUACCGGAUAAUAUUUUGAACCGCUUGGUUCAAAAGUGAAAGACGGUCUUGCUGUCACUUAUAGAUGGAUCCGCGCUGCAUUAGCUAGUUGGUAAGGUAACGGCUUACCAAGGCAACGAUGCAUAGCCGACCUGAGAGGGUGAUCGGCCACACUGGAACUGAGACACGGUCCAGACUCCUACGGGAGGCAGCAGUAGGGAAUCUUGCGCAAUGGGCGAAAGCCUGACGGAGCAACGCCGCGUGAGUGAUGAAGGUCUUCGGAUCGUAAAACUCUGUUAUUAGGGAAGAACAUAUGUGUAAGUAACUGUGCACAUCUUGACGGUACCUAAUCAGAAAGCCACGGCUAACUACGUG